AUCUCUGGCUGAGGGUAAUGAAAACUGAUCCAGCGUACCGACUGGUCACUGGGGAUUGGGCUUGCUUGGGGUGGUUAUUAUUAUUGCUCUGGCUUGCCUUAAAAUCAUGCGUUGUGUGGAUUGGACUUUCAAGCAUGCAUUGGGGACGCAGGCUCUGCGCUAUAAUAAGGCAAGCCCUUGACCGUCAUAGGUGCUUUGAUUGGGGUCUUCAGUCUAGCCAACAAAGGCUGGGUUGGAACUUUGGGGCUGCAUUGGGGGCGUAGGGCAGCUCUGUUCGUGGCGUCCGAUGACCGUCAUGGUGCAUGAUUGGACUUCAACCAGCAAUUAUUGUUAUUAUUAUCAUU
rnacentral:rRNA from 1 species